rnacentral:rRNA from 1 species
CGCGGCGCCCACUGGGUCCCCUGGAACGGGGCGCCACAGAGGGUGAGAACCCCGUAUAGUUGGACCCCUAGCCCGUGUAAGCUCCUUCCACGAAUCUAGUAAUUUGGGAAUGCUGCUCAAAAUGGGAUGUAAAUUUCUUCUAAAGCUAAAUACCAACCCGAAACCGAUAACGCACAAGUAAAAUGAACGAAAAAUGAAAAGCACUUUGAAAAAAAGGUUAAACAGCACUUGAAAAUGGUGAAAGGGAAGCGCUUGUGACCAGACUCGCGCCGGGCUGAUCAUUCGGUGUUCUCACCGGUGCACUCUGCCCGGCUCGGGCCAGCAUCGGUUCCUGCGGGGGGAUAAAGGCUCCGGGAACCUAGCUCCUCCGGGAAUGUUAUAGCCCGGGGCGCAAUGCCCCCACGGGGACCGAAGACCGCGCUCUGCAAGGAUGCUGGCGUAAUGGUCACC